GAACGCUGGCGGCAUGCUUUACACAUGCAAGUCGAACGGUAACAGGCCUUCGGGUGCUGACGAGUGGCGAACGGGUGAGUAAUGCAUCGGAACGUGCCCAGAGGUGGGGGAUAACGCAGCGAAAGCUGUGCUAAUACCGCAUGUGAUCUGAGGAUGAAAGCGGGGGACCAGGCAGCAAUGUUUGGCCUCGCGCCUUUGGAGCGGCCGAUGUCAGAUUAGGUAGUUGGUGGGGUAAAGGCCUACCAAGCCGACGAUCUGUAGCUGGUCUGAGAGGACGACCAGCCACACUGGGACUGAGACACGGCCCAGACUCCUACGGGAGGCAGCAGUGGGGAAUUUUGGACAAUGGGCGCAAGCCUGAUCCAGCAAUGCCGCGUGCGGGAAGAAGGCCUUCGGGUUGUAAACCGCUUUUGUACGGAACGAAAAGGCUCUGGCUAAUACCUGGGGCUGAUGACGGUACCGUAAGAAUAAGCACCGGCUAACUACGUG
rnacentral:rRNA from 1 species